rnacentral:rRNA from 1 species
UACGGAGGGGGUUAGCCCUGUUCUGAAUUACUGGGCGUUUAGCGCGCGUAGCGGACUCUAAAGUUAGAGGUGAAAUCCCCCGGCUCAACCCUGGAACUUCCUCCACAACUCUCUGAUCUCUAGUUCGAGAGAGGUGAGUGGAAUUCCGAGUGGGAGGUGAAAUUUUUAGAUAUAUGAGGAACACCAUCUGUUGAAAGCGGCUCACUGGCUCUAUACUGAGCUGAGGUGCUAAGAGUGUGGGGAGCAAACAAGAUUAUAUACCCUAGUAGUCCACUCCGCCUACGACGAUUGCCAGUCGUCUUCUAACAUGCUAUUCUGUGACACACCUAACUUAGUAGUAUUCCUCCUGCGGAGACGGUCGCUAGAUUGAUACUCAGAUGAAUUGACUGAAG